ACUUGCCGAUUAUGCUAACUUUGGUGACUCAAGCCUGGAUAACUAGCCUCACCAAGAAUACCACCGAUUCUUGGGCCGAGUUAAAAGCUCAAUU
rnacentral:snoRNA from 1 species